CUCCUCAUUUUCCCCAUUUUCCUCAUCGCAUCUGGUCCUCCUCCUCUCCUCUCCCCCAUCCACCUCACAUCACCACGCAGCUCUGCUCUUCCUAUCCAUCCAGCAAACGCACACAAAUGGCUUGGCGUUGCCCCCCGCCACCCCCCAACCUGGAGUGUGCGCGGCCGUCAAGACCAGAGGACGCCAUGGGCGCCUGCCUUGGAGCUCCCCUGCCAUGGACCUGAUCUGGCCGUCAACUCGCCACCCCAUGCGUGCUCCGGAUCCGGCCGAUCCCGCGCCACUCAUGCCCUGGUGGCCCUGCCGACAUCGUCGCCUAGGAAGACCACCAUGCCCGCUGCAGGAGCUUCGAGCCGGAUCUGGGCCCUCUCCGACCUCCCUCGCCGUCCUUCAUCCGUUCCCGAUAUCCUCCCGGCGCCAGGAGCUCAGGCGAGCGCCGCCACAAGACCCUGCCUCCUCUGCCCCGUAGCCCGCCAUGGAGGUCGCCGCCUCUCCCGUCUCGAUCCGUCUGCGGCCGGAUCCACGGCGGAGCAGCCGAGAUCCGCCGCCCGUUCCGCGACGCCUCGGCCCGCCAAGGCCAGCGCCGAGGCCGACAAGGCGCGCAGGAAGGCCAAGGCCCUCACCAAGCAGCGGGAGGACUUGCGGGCUAGGCUUGCCUACCGCAAGCACGCCCGCGAGCUCACCUCCAUGCCGGCCAAGGCCACCGCUGCGACGCCAGUUCUUUUUUUUACGAAUAGUUUCCCAGAUCCACUUAAUAGGGACUGCGGGUUGAUUUCGCGGAAACAGAGGGACUUUUUUGUAAAAUAGGCGACGACGUACGACCAGAAACCCUACAUGCUUUAUUAUUAUUAGGUAGAGAUAGAGAGGUAGAGAGGUAAAGAUUUCUUAUCCAACAAUGUUCAAAGCAAGCUUUUUUUUCCUAGGGAAAUGUUCAAAGCAAGUUUGUUACGAGGAGUCGAGGAUUACCUUCCGCAGUUUUGAGUAUCUUACACGCAGCUUGUAACGAAGAAAAUGAUAUGUGUGGACCCACAUUAGAAAGUAAAUUAUUUUGCCGAAGUUUCUAGUA